UGAUAUUAAUAUUUUACGUGGUAGAAUAUUCGCAUAUGAUUUUGAUACAUCGUUAUUAUGAUAUUAGAUAUAUCAUAAUUGAGAUAAGUUUUUCCCACACGAAAAUAAAUAUAUUUCCGUGGGAUAUAUUCCUACACACUAAAUUAGUGAUGUAAAGUAGUCAAGCAUAUGUGUAUGUAUUUUUCUAUAUCUCAAUCUCUCUCACUCUCGACUCUCUCUCAAUCUCUCUCAAUCUCUCUCACUCUCGACUCUCUCUCAAUCUCUCUCAAUCUCUCUCACUCUCGACUCUCUCUCAAUCUCUCUCAAUCUCUCUCACUCUCGACUCUCUCUCAAUCUCUCUCAAUCUCUCUCACUCUCGACUCUCUCUCAAUCUCUCUCCCUCUCUCUCUUUCUCCCUCACUCUCUCUCACUCUCGGUCUCUCUCUCCCCUCACGCACCCCCUUCUCUCUCUCCCUCAUUACUUCAUUCUCCCCCAUAAAUGUUGCACACAUGCAACAUUAAACCCUAACCUAAGUAGCUAACCUAGUUAGCCCAACAAAAUCCCAAGGUUCAAGCUCUCACAUCUCUCUCUCAUAUCUCUAUCUCUCGGCUCUCACUCCUCUCUCCUCCCUCCUCCUCUCUUCUCCUUCUCUAUUCACUUCAUAGGAUGACAUACUCCACCAUUACUCCAUCUUUGACUACAAGAUAGUGUAUUAAAAGAAGAUCACACAAGCACAUGCAAGUCUUCUCCCCCCACCUUUACUCGAUCUCUCUCUCUCGGCCCUCCCUCUUCUCUCUUCUCUUCUUCUCUCUUCUCACUCCCUAUUCCCCUCACUUCAUGACAUCCUCACCAUCACUUCUUCAUUUACUAACAAGAUAUGCAUUAAUAGCAAGAUCACACCAUCACUUCUCAUAAAGGCAAGCAAGCUCUCUCUCCUUUUCUACCCCCUUCGGCAGCCCCCUCCCCUCUCACUCC
rnacentral:lncRNA from 1 species